rnacentral:tRNA from 2 species
GCGGCUAUAACUCAAUGGUAGAGUAUCUGACUUCCACUCAGACAAUGUCGGUUCGAUUCCGAUUAGCCGCU